ACGCUAGCUACAGGCUUAACACAUGCAAGUCGAGGGGAAACGGCAUUAAGUGCUUGCACUUUUUGGACGUCGACCGGCGCACGGGUGAGUAACGCGUAUCCAACCUUCCCAUGACUAAGGGAUAACCUGCCGAAAGGCAGACUAAUACCUUAUGGUCUUCACUGACGGCAUCAGAUGUGAAGUAAAGAUUUAUCGGUUAUGGAUGGGGAUGCGUCUGAUUAGUUAGUUGGCGGGGUAACGGCCCACCAAGGCAACGAUCAGUAGGGGUUCUGAGAGGAAGGUCCCCCACAUUGGAACUGAGACACGGUCCAAACUCCUACGGGAGGCAGCAGUGAGGAAUAUUGGUCAAUGGGCGAGAGCCUGAACCAGCCAAGUAGCGUGCAGGAAGACGGCCCUAUGGGUUGUAAACUGCUUUUGUAUGGGGAUAAAGUCAAUCACGUGUGAUUGUUUGCAGGUACCAUACGAAUAAGGACCGGCUAAUUCCGUGCCAGCAGCCGCGGUAAUACGGAAGGUCCGGGCGUUAUCCGGAUUUAUUGGGUUUAAAGGGAGCGUAGGCUGGAGAUUAAGUGUGUUGUGAAAUGUAGACGCUCAACGUCUGACUUGCAGCGCAUACUGGUUUCCUUGAGUACGCACAACGUUGGCGGAAUUCGUCGUGUAGCGGUGAAAUGCUUAGAUAUGACGAAGAACUCCGAUUGCGAAGGCAGCUGACGGGAGCGCAACUGACGCUGAAGCUCGAAGGUGCGGGUAUCGAACAGGAUUAGAUACCCUGGUAGUCCGCACAGUAAACGAUGGAUGCCCGCUGUUGGUACCUGGUAUCAGCGGCUAAGCGAAAGCAUUAAGCAUCCCACCUGGGGAGUACGCCGGCAACGGUGAAACUCAAAGGAAUUGACGGGGGCCCGCACAAGCGGAG
rnacentral:rRNA from 1 species